UACGGGAGGCAGCAGUGGAGAAUCUUGCACAAUGGGGGCAACCCUGAUGCAGCGACGCCGCGUGGACGAAGAAGGCCCUCUGGGUUGUAAAGUCCUUUUCUGACGGAAGAAGUCAAUAUGUUCUAACAGGGCAUAUUGUUGACGGUACGUUAGGAAGAAGUCACGGCUAACUCCGUGCCAGCAGCCGCGGUAA
rnacentral:rRNA from 1 species